UUACAAUGGGCGUCUGUUGGUGCUCGAGGCCGCUUUUCUGUGGUCUCAGUUCAACGGGAAGCAGGGAGGUGCUGGCCAGACACACUGGCACACCGAACCUGCGCUGCCCCCGCAACGGUCGGCGAAUGGAGUGCGCAGCACUCCUCCUUUUCCAUUCAUAGCCACUGGCGCUUGCGUGCUGGGAAGGCUGGCAAAAGGAAGAAUCGCCUAGCCCGGAUACCGGCCAACAUGGGUUGCCUGCA
rnacentral:ncRNA from 2 species